rnacentral:lncRNA from 1 species
AUUUUUGCUGUUUCCAUGGUAACGGCGGCCAUUUUGAAUAUUCCAAAGUCAAACCCCCGCUGCAAUUUUUUGCCCUCCAUAAUCAUAUACCAUUUAAUGUCUCUAGAAUAAAUUUAACAUUGAUGUUCUGGAAUGUUCUGUGAAAAUUCAAAGUUUUGACCUUUUUGCAUUGUUUCCAAGGUAACAACAGAUAUUUUGGAAAUUCCAACGCCAAAUUCCACAUCUUCCAAUGUUGCUCAUCGUUACUGUGAAGUUUCCUGAAGUUUGGAGCAUUUUGAGAAUUUCGAAAUUUUUGGUGUAGUUUCCAUGGCAACAUAGUAGUUCCAAUGAUCACCAAAAUCAUCCAACACCUGUAUAUAGUGGGCACCUACAUUGUAUUAAAAUAUAAUGAUUCUGAGAUAAAGCAUAUCCAAACAGUUCACCAAAACAAAAAACUGGAUUUUUUCACAUUUGUUCUGUUUCCAUGGAAACGGUAGCCAUCUUGAACCAUUCCAUGCUUCCUGCAACUCUGCACCUGGGGGUCCUUACUAUAGUAGAGUUCCAUCAACAUUGGUCCAUUGGAUUUCGAGAAAUCACCUGGACAAAAUUUGUUGCAAGAAAAAUAAUAAUAAUAAUAAGAAAAAAAAGAAACGUAGAAUAACAAUACGUCACCCCAACUCCGUUGAGGGUGCCAUAAUAAAAAGAAAAGAAAAGUCACCCCAACUCCGAAAAAAAAAAACGUAGAAAUAACAAUAUGUCACCCAACUCCGUUGAGGGUGCCAUAAUGAUACGCGAAGCGAAUUAAAGGUUUUUUCUUUCAUGAAUUCAACGGAAAAGAUACGUGUAUUGGUUGAUUGAAGGUUUGUGAUCAUGAUUGAUCAAUCAAUCAAUUGAUCGAUCGUUUGAUUGAUUGAUUGAUCGAAUGAUUGACAGUUCGUAAAAAUAGCGA